UAGGGCUCAAUGGUCCUACUUUCCCUAAAGGUUUUUCUUUGGGGAAUCUCAUUAGUAGCCAAAGCGACUGAGGGAGAAAGGAAUGUUUCUCACCUGGGAAAAAGGGCAUCCCCAUUCACUGGCUCCCCGUGGGAGGCCUGCUUAGCAUUAUUGGGCACAAGUUUUAGUCUUCUGGAAUUAGAGAGCACCACCAAUUCAGAGACAGCGUUGCUCUUCCCAGAAAAUGCGUCCUGCUCCUGAGCUAGUGGGACUGGGACGCUGGUUUGUUUGUUUGUUUCUUGUUUUUGUUUGCUUGUUUGUUUUGCAAUGACAAGUUUUUAGCAAAUGGAGGUCAGGGGCUAUGGGGGACCUGGACCCCAGCUUAGCGUGGGGUGCGGGGGUAUAGCCCGCAACGCCUCCAGCGAGCAAGGAUGCUAUGGCCAGCCCGGGGUCUCCCAAAGGCCUUUAGUUAUACGGAUUUUACACAAAACAAAGAGUUACUUUUAAACGCGACAGACUCAAGGUCAAACUGCGAGGUGCUUGGGCCCGUGGAAGAGAUGCCCGAAAAAGCCCAGAUCCAAACUCACAGGCUUCCUUCCGUUUCCUAACCCCAAACUAAUAGGUGUUUUUCGUUUUGUCAGUAAAAUUCGAUUUUUGUUUCACAGAACAAGAUGCGGAGGUAGAAACGGUGAAGAAGCCGGUCCCAAAUAUUUACAGGGCAGGGACCUGAUGACGGGCCAAGGCCGGGGCCGCUCCGCCCAGUCUGGAGAGGGGUGUCACUGCCGCGGCGCUAGGCCCGGAGUCCUGCUUGGGGAGACUAGAGCACUCACCCUGGGCCUGCUGGAGAGUCCCCGGAGAGAGGGUCGCCGCCCGCCGGCUCCGGGGCACUCGGGUGAGCGCUCGCAGAGGCCGUUGACCGAGCGCACCGAGGCGCCCGGGCAAAGAAGCGGCGGAGCGGCCGCGACGGGCCGGGACAGACGCGAGAACGGCCAGGACUGACCCCUUCCAGGAGCCGUAGCGGAAGUAGGUUUCUGGUCAUGUGACGAGAGAAGGGCGGAUGUUGCAUGCAGGCUCCUGAGACGUCGACGCGGAGCCAUUUUUGUCGUGGGCAAAGUACUUCCGUCUCAGAAAAGAAAAGUGUUCAAGGGCUCUGCUUCUCCUAUGACACUGGCUUGAGAAAGGGCUGGAGAAGAUGAUGAGUGGUUAAAAGCACUGACUGACUGCUCUUCCAGAGAUCCUGAGUUCAAUUCCCAGUAACCACAUGGUGGCUCACAACCACCUGUAAUGGGAUCUGAUGCUCUCUUCUGGAUCUCAUGGCUGGCUUCCAUUUUGUGUGCUCAAUGGUGACUGACACUCACGGCUGCUCAUCUCACCUCCAUCUCCCAGGUGCUGGAACUACAAGUGUGAGAGAAGAUGCUACUCAACUGCCUCCAAAGGGACAGUUUCUGAAGCAACAACUACAUAUCUUGGAUCCUUAAAUCCUUGAAUAUCUGAUAGAAAAAUAUCUUUUCCCUUUACAAAAACAUGCACCCAAGGACUUUACAUACAACUUAGGUUAGUGGGUCACUCGGGAUGCUACAGAUUUCUCCAGGAAGGGCCAUGAAAUCCCUCACUUAAAAGCUCUGCUUCUGGGGCUGGAGAGAUGGCUUGGCAGUUAAUAGGCUCUUGCAGGGGUCCAGAAUUCAAUCCCCAGCAACCACAUGCUGGCUCACAGCCAUCCAUAGUGAGAUCUGUUAUGCAGGUGUAGAUGCAGGCAGAAUACUGUGUACAUAGUAAAUAAAUAAAUAAAUCUUAAAAGAAAAAAAAAAGCCCUGCUUCCUAGAAUGUCUGUUAAUGACUAUACUUGCACAUCUCUGAUUCUUAGGGUAAGUGCAGAAACAAAGGUUUGUAGGAAAUGAACCUAGAAGAGGAGCCAACUCCACUGAAAUGUCAUGUGAUUGCUACACCUGUAAAGAUUUUUGAUAGCCACCCUCAGUCUGAGGGAACACAGGCUCAGAGGGAGAACACUGCUACAAGGUAAAAAUGAAGUGAAGACAUUUCUAAAUCUUCUAACACAAGGAGACAUACAGGCAGCUUAGGAGUUUGUUUCGUUGCUAAUGAUGCUGACGAGCUCUUUUAUUCUAUGCCUUUUAUUUUAUCUUAAUCAGACAAAGAGUUUUGCAUGUACCAUAAUCAGCUUCCAAACGCUGACACCAUUGUAUACACUAGCAAGAUUUUGC